GACGAACCGUGCGAACGUUGUUCGGAUUCACUGGGCUUAAAGGGCGCGUAGGCGGCCGUCCAAGUCGGGGGUGAAAUCCCCCAGCUCAACUGGGGAACAGCCCCCGAUACUGGACGGCUGGAGGGAGGCAGGGGCGGACGGAACUUCCGGUGGAGCGGUGAAAUGCGUAGAUAUCGGAAGGAACGCCGGUGGCGAAAGCGGUCCGCUGGACCUCUACUGACGCUGAGGCGCGAAAGCCAGGGGAGCAAACGGG
rnacentral:rRNA from 1 species